CUGAAAACCGAGAAUCAUGUUUACUUACUCUUCCUGCCAGGACUCAGCUGAGAAUCAAAGUAGAUGAACCAUUAGGAUGCCUGAGAACAGCUAACAUUUGGACGAUGGCAGUUCACCCCCAUCAUCUCACUUGUUCCAGCUAUCCCACGAGGAGGAGACAGACUUGAAUCCUGGUCCAGAUCAACCUGACUCAUCACUUUUGGAGAAGAUGAGGUCAGACUGCAGGGACUCUAGGAACCACUUGUUGAAUUUAAUAUCCUCAUUCAUCACAUCCCUGAUCAUCUUGACUGCUGCUGGGCUCAGCAUCGCUUCCUUCAGCAGGAAUUCUGAAAUCACAU